rnacentral:ncRNA from 1 species
AACGGACCCGGCCCCGCCCGGGUGGCUCGGCCGGGCGCCUAUCCCCCGGACAACC